rnacentral:rRNA from 1 species
AACACGUGGGUAAUUUACCUUUGGGUGGGGAACAACAGCCGGAAACGGCUGCUAAUACCGCAUAAUGCAGCGGCUCGACAUCGAGACGGUUGUUAAAGCGGGGGAUCGCAAGACCUCGCGCCUAAAGAGAAGCCCGCGGCAGAUUAGCUAGUUGGUAGGGUAAUGGCCUACCAAGGCGACGAUCUGUAACCGGCCUGAGAGGGCGGUCGGUCACACUGACACUGACAUACGGGUCAGACUCCUACGGGAGGCAGCAGUCGGGAAUUUUGGGCAAUGGGCGAAAGCCUGACCCAGCAACGCCGCGUGAAGGAUGAAGCUUUUCGGAGUGUAAACUUCACAAGAAUGGGAAGAAUAAGUUUAGGCUAAUACCCUGAACGAUGACGGUACCAUUUGUAAGCUCCGGCUAACUCCGUGCCAGCAGCCGCGGUAAUACGGGGGGAGCAAGCGUUGUUCGGAUUUACUGGGCGUAAAGGGCGCGUAGGCGGCCCAACAAGUCACUUGUGAAAUCUCCGGGCUUAACCCCGGAG